UGCUCCUGACUGUUAUUCACAAGGUCAUUUCAAUCACUAAGCCUUUACUCAAAGGCUCUCGUGUGGUCACUUCUCAUUCUUUUGUUGUUUUCAGCUACAGAAUGGUUUGGACUGAAAAAGUUGAAGAUGCACAGAUGGACUCAAAAGGCUCAAGCGUACCCAUGAGCCAGCUCCAGGCCGCAGGAGCUGCCUCUUACCUCGACCACAUGUGCGCCUUGGACAUCGACUCCAAGGCAUCCUACAUUCGACUCUCCGGAAUCAUUUGUACCAUUGGACCUGCGUCAGUUUAUCCAGGCAGAUUGGAGCAGAUGAUUGAAACUGGAAUGAACAUUGCUCGGCUGAACUUCUCGCACGGGACUCAUGCUUACCACUCAAGUGUGGUUAGACAAAUCAGAGAAGCUGUGACCAGCUACAGUUCUAAGAUUGGAAUGACGUACCCACUUGCUAUAGCGCUUGACACUAAGGGACCCGAGAUCAGGACUGGUUUGUUGGCUGGGGGGCCCUCUGCUGAAGUGGAGCUAAAGAAGGGGCAGUUGAUUACCAUAACAGCUGAGUCUGUAUACAAGGAAAAAUCCACAGAACAAAAUUUGUGGAUUGACUACAAAAACCUCAGCGAUGUGGUAAACGUCGGAAACAGAAUUUUCAUUGAUGAUGGAUUGAUCUCCUUAGUUGUAACGCAUGUUGGAUUUGACUACGUAAAAUGUGAAAUUGAAAACGGAGGUAUGUUGGGAAGCAGGAAGGGGGUGAACCUUCCGGGUAUCGCGGUUGAUCUUCCUGCAGUUUCCGAGAAGGACAAAGAGGAUCUUAAGUUCGGUGUGAAAGAAGGAGUAGAUAUGAUAUUUGCAUCAUUCAUCCGAGACGCUAAAGCUAUCACAGAGAUCAGACAAAUCCUGGGAGCAGAAGGCAAGAAUAUAAAAAUCAUUGCCAAGAUCGAGAACCACCAGGGCUGGCAGAAUCUUGAUGAAAUCAUCGAAGCUGCAGAUGGAAUCAUGGUAGCUCGUGGAGACCUGGGUAUCGAAAUCCCCCCAGAAAAAGUGUUUUUGGCCCAGAAGGCCAUGAUUGCUCGAUGUAACAAGAAAGGCAAGCCAGUGAUUUGCGCCACCCAGAUGUUGGAGUCUAUGAUCCACAAGCCCCGUCCCACACGUGCCGAGGGCUCGGACGUAGCCAACGCUAUCCUAGACGGAGCUGACUGUGUUAUGUUGUCUGGAGAGACAGCUAAGGGAGACUACCCUCUAGAAUGUGUGGCUACCAUGGCUAACAUCUGCAAGGAGGCAGAAGCUGCCAUCUGGCAUAAGCAACUCUUCGUUGACCUCACUUCUAAGGUGGUUGAGCCUCUAGAAGCGACACACACAAUCGCCAUCGCUGCCGUAGAAGCAGCCAACAAGUGCCAAGCUGCAGCCAUCAUAGUGAUCACCACAACGGGCCGCACUGCGCAUCUUAUCUCCAAGUACAGGCCGCGUUGCCCAAUCAUCGCUGUCACUCGUCACGAGCAAAUUGCACGCCAAUGCCACCUAUACCGUGCCAUUCUGCCCCUCAUCUACUCAGGCGAUUUGAAUCCCGAUUGGGUGAAAGACGUGGACUUCCGAGUACAGUUUGGUCUCAGAUUCGGCAGGACCCGUAACUUCAUCAAGACCGGAGACCCAGUGAUUGUCGUGACUGGAUGGAAGCAGGGUUCUGGCUUCACCAACACCGUCCGCAUCGUAUGGCUAUAACAGAAAUCUCCCAAAGUGUGCUUAGCUUAGCCAAGAGCCAAGAAGCAGUUACCAAACUUCCAGAACCAUGCUUCAAAGUCCUAGACAAUUACAAAAUUGCAGACGCUGCACAAAUGACCAAUUCAUACGUCAGAUUCAUAGAGCGUUCUGCUGAAGAGAUGGACGGAGAAGUAGAGUAUGACAUGGAUGAAGAAGAUGCUGCCUGGUUAACCAUUAUCAACCAGAAGAGAGCAGUGCAGGGAGUUCCUGAAGUUUCAAUUGAUACUUUUGAACUGUUAAUGGACCGAUUGGAGAAGGAAUCAUACUUUCAGCUUGCCCUACUGACGUGGAUGGGAUUAUUGUCAUCAUUGAGUCUGCACAGCAAUACGUGCCUGAACACUGCAUCGAAUGGGGCAUUGAAAUUACCGAGAGGCAGUUCCCAGGCAUUCGCUUCUACAACUUGCCCAGACAACUCGAUACAUUCUGUGAAAAUUGAUUGUAAGAUGGUAAAAAAAACAUGCCUACCAGGUUUUUAGUAAAAAAAUCUUUGUUUUUGUUAUCGAUAGGCCUAGUAAUUUUUACCCUCGAGUUGUUCAUUAAUAAAUUACUGGUUACGUAGAUUG